CUCACUCCGACUCCCUCCACAAGUCCAACGACAUCCUCGCCUCCUCCGGCGACUACCUCCGCCUCUAGGAGGUCAAAGACUCCUCCGUUGAUCGCCUCGAGCCCAUAUCCGUCCUCAACAACACCAAGACCAGCGAAUUCUGUGCGCCGCUGACUUCAUUCGACUGGAACGAGAUCGAGCCUCGGCGAAUCGGAACCUCCAGCAUCGACACCACCUGUACGAUUUGGGACAUCGAGAAGGGAGUCGUUCGGACGCAGCUGAUCGCUCACGAUAAGGAGGUUUACGACAUUGCGUGGGGCGAAGCUAGGGUUUUCGCCUCCGUCUCCGCCGACGGGUCGGUGAGGAUUUUUGAUCUCCGACUCGUACCCAUCGACUCUGACUCCG
rnacentral:lncRNA from 1 species